UAGGCUGAAGCCCGCUGGAUUGGGUUUUUAGUUGUUAGUUAAAGUUUUAUGGGAUCGAAGCCCAUCGGUCUAGG
rnacentral:tRNA from 2 species